rnacentral:rRNA from 1 species
AGUGAACGCUGGCGGUAGGCCUAACACAUGCAAGUCGAACGGCAGCACAGGAGAGCUUGCUCUCUGGGUGGCGAGUGGCGGACGGGUGAGGAAUACAUCGGAAUCUACUUUUUCGUGGGGGAUAACGUAGGGAAACUUACGCUAAUACCGCAUACGACCUACGGGUGAAAGCAGGGGAUCUUCGGACCUUGCGCGAUUGAAUGAGCCGAUGUCGGAUUGGCUAGUUGGCGGGGUAAAGGCCCACCAAGGCGACGAUCCGUAGCUGGUCUGAGAGGAUGAUCAGCCACACUGGAACUGAGACACGGUCCAGACUCCUACGGGAGGCAGCAGUGGGGAAUAUUGGACAAUGGGCGCAAGCCUGAUCCAGCCAUACCGCGUGGGUGAAGAAGGCCUUCGGGUUGUAAAGCCCUUUUGUUGGGAAAGAAAUCCAGCUGGUUAAUACCCGGUUGGGAUGACGGUACCCAAAGAAUAAGCACCGGCUAACUUCGUGCCAGCAGCCGCAGAAA